rnacentral:rRNA from 1 species
UACGGAGGGUGCAAGCGUUGUCCGGAUUUAUUGGGUUUAAAGGGUGCGUAGGUGGCCUUAUAAGUCAGCGGUGAAAGUCUGCAGCUUAACUGUAGAACUGCCAUUGAUACUGUAAGGCUUGAGUACUGAUGAGGUAGGCGGAAUUGAUAGUGUAGCGGUGAAAUGCAUAGAUAUUAUCAAGAACACCGAUUGCGAAGGCAGCUUACUAAGGAGUUACUGACACUGAGGCACGAAAGCGUGGGGAUCAAACAGGAUUAGAUACCCUGGUAGUCCACGCCAUAAACGAUGAUUACUCGAUGUAUGCGAUAGACUGUAUGCGUCCAAGCGAAAGCGUUAAGUAAUCCACCUGGGGAGUACGACCGCAAGGUUGAA